rnacentral:rRNA from 1 species
UACAGAGGUCUCAAGCGUUGUUCGGAUUCAUUGGGCGUAAAGGGUGCGUAGGCGGCGCGGUAAGUCGGGGUGUGAAAUCUUGGAGCUUAACUCCGAAACUGCAUUCGAUACUGCCGUGCUUGAGGACUGGAGAGGAGACUGGAAUUUACGGUGUAGCGGUGAAAUGCGUAGAUAUCGUAAGGAAGACCAGUGGCGAAGGCGGGUCUCUGGACAGUUCCUGACGUGAGGCACGAAGGUCAGGGGAGCAAACGGG